rnacentral:rRNA from 1 species
CCUACGGGGGACAGCAGUGAGGAAUAUUGGUCAAUGGGCGCGAGCCUGAACCAGCCAAGUAGCGUGAAGGAUGACUGCCCUACGGGUUGUAAACUUCUUUUAUAAAGGAAUAAAGUGAGGCACGUGUGCCUUUAUGUAUGUACUUUAUGAAUAAGGAUCGGCUAAACCCGUGCCAGCAGCCGGGGUAAUACGGAGGAUCCGAGCGUUAUCCGGAUUUAUUGGGGUUAAAGGGAGCGUAGAGGGGUUGUUAAGUCAGUUGUGAAAGUUUGCGGCUCAACCGUAAAAUUGCAGUUGAAACUGGCAGUCUUGAGUACAGUAGAGGUGGGCGGAAUGCGUGGUGUAGCGGUGAAAUGCUUAGAUAUCACGAAGAACUCCGAUUGCGAAGGCAGCUCACUGGACUGCAACUGACACUGAGGCUCGAAAGUGUGGGUAUCAAACAGGAUUAGAUACCCGUGUAGUC